UACGUAGGCAGCGAGCGUUGUUCGGAGUUACUGGGCGUAAAGGGUGUGUAGGCGGUUUCUUAAGUUUGGUGUGAAAUCUCCCGGCUUAACUGGAGGGUGCGCCGAAUACUGAGAGGCUCGAGUGCGGGAGAGGAGAGUGGAAUUCCUGGUGUAGCGGUAGUAAAUGCGCAGAUAGUCGGGAAGAACACCCGUGGCGAAGGCGGCACUCUGGGACGGUACUGACGCUGAGACGCGAAAGCGUGGGGAGCGAACAGG
rnacentral:rRNA from 1 species